UACAGAGGGUGCAAGCGUUGUUCGGAAUUAUUGGGCGUAAAGGGCGCGUAGGCGGUGCGGUAAGUCUGUAGUGAAAUCUCUGGGCUCAACUCAGAGUCUGCUGCAGAAACUGCCGUGCUUGAGUGUGGGAGAGGUGAGUGGAAUUCCCGGUGUAGCGGUGAAAUGCGUAGAUAUCAGGAGGAACACCUGUGGCGAAAGCGGCGCACUGGACCACAACUGACGCUGAGGCGCGAAAGCUAGGGGAGCAAACAGG
rnacentral:rRNA from 1 species